UGUUAGCGGCGGACGGGUGAGUAACACGUGGAUAACCUACCUAUAAGACUGGGAUAACUUCGGGAAACCGGAGCUAAUACCGGAUAAUAUUUUGAACCGCAUGGUUCAAAAGUGAAAGACGGUCUUGCUGUCACUUAUAGAUGGAUCCGCGCUGCAUUAGCUAGUUGGUAAGGUAACGGCUUACCAAGGCAACGAUGCAUAGCCGACCUGAGAGGGUGAUCGGCCACACUGGAACUGAGACACGGUCCAGACUCCUACGGGAGGCAGCAGUAGGGAAUCUUCCGCAAUGGGCGAAAGCCUGACGGAGCAACGCCGCGUGAGUGAUGAAGGUCUUCGGAUCGUAAAACUCUGUUAUUAGGGAAGAACAUAUGUGUAAGUAACUGUGCACAUCUUGACGGUACCUAAUCAGAAAGCCACGGCUAACUACGUGCCAGCAGCCGCGGUAAUACGUAGGUGGCAAGCGUUAUCCGGAAUUAUUGGGCGUAAAGCGCGCGUAGGCGGUUUUUUAAGUCUGAUGUGAAAGCCCACGGCUCAACCGUGGAGGGUCAUUGGAAACUGGAAAACUUGAGUGCAGAAGAGGAAAGUGGAAUUCCAUGUGUAGCGGUGAAAUGCGCAGAGAUAUGGAGGAACACCAGUGGCGAAGGCGACUUUCUGGUCUGUAACUGACGCUGAUGUGCGAAAGCGUGGGGAUCAAACAGGAUUAGAUACCCUGGUAGUCCACGCCGUAAACGAUGAGUGCUAAGUGUUAGGGGGUUUCCGCCCCUUAGUGCUGCAGCUAAC
rnacentral:rRNA from 1 species